GAUGAACGCUGGCGGCGUGCCUAACACAUGCAAGUCGAACGGUAACAGGAAGAAGCUUGCUUCUUUGCUGACGAGUGGCGGACGGGUGAGUAAUGUCUGGGAAACUGCCUGAUGGAGGGGGAUAACUACUGGAAACGGUAGCUAAUACCGCAUAAUGUCGCAAGACCAAAGAGGGGGACCUUCGGGCCUCUUGCCAUCGGAUGUGCCCAGAUGGGAUUAGCUAGUAGGUGGGGUAACGGCUCACCUAGGCGACGAUCCCUAGCUGGUCUGAGAGGAUGACCAGCCAAACUGGAACUGAGACACGGUCCAGACUCCUACGGGAGGCAGCAGUGGGGAAUAUUGCACAAUGGGCGCAAGCCUGAUGCAGCUAUGCCGCGUGUAUGAAGAAGGCCUUCGGGUUGUAAAGUACUUUCAGCGGGGAGGAAGGGAGUAAAGUUAAUACCUUUGCUCAUUGACGUUACCCGCAGAAGAAGCACCGGCUAACUCCGUG
rnacentral:rRNA from 1 species